rnacentral:rRNA from 1 species
GUUGGGCCUGCUCGGUGAGAAGAAAAAUUUAACAGCUGCGGUAUUAUAACUGUACUAAGGUAGCAUAAUAAUUUGCCUUAUAAAUUAAGGCUAGAAUGAAUGGUUUGACGAAAAUUAGACUGUCUUUAUUUUAUUUGUUAGAAAUUAAUUUUUAUAGUGAAAAAGCUUGAAUAAUUUAAGGGGACGAGAAGACCCUAUUGAGCUUUAUUUAUUAAUAUUUAAAUAUGAAUAUAUAAUUUAUAUUAUGAAAAUUAUGUUGUAUAUAUACAUAUAUUUAAUUGGAUUUAAUUUUGAUUGGGGUGAUCAAGGAAUAAAGAUAAAGUAACUUCCUUAAAAUUAAUGAUUGUUUUUAUAGAGUAAUAAACCAAGUUUUUUGCUUAUAAGAUAAGUUACCAUAGGGGUAACAGCGUAAUUUUUUUUGAGAGUUCAUAUUGAAAAAAGAGAUUGCGACCUCGAUGUUGGAUUAAAAAUUACCUUAAGG